UUUUAGAAGCUUUCGGCUGCUGCGUGCUACUCUCGUUCAGUAGUCUGCGUUUAACACAUUGCCCAUCCACACCGCCUGACGAGCAAUUCACCUCAAAACCAUGAGGCUGCAAGAUACGCAGCAAAACGGCAAUCAAGCCACAUAUAUGAGGAAGCACUCUGGCUCUCAGACAGUCCAGAAACGGGCCUCCAUGACCACAGAGUACCAGGAGAGGUUCCUUUCCCCACUCUGCUACAAGGCUAUCGUCUCAGCCCCAUCACAUAAAGGCCCUUACCAUGCACUGAAAGGGACGAGUGCAGAUGUGAGAUCAUACUAUUUGGUCCAAAAAAGGAUCCCAAAGGCCCCGCAGCCAUCUUUGCCACCCGUAGGCCACCGGUGUAGCAACCCCCUACAUAAUCAUACACGCUUAGUCGCAAACCAAAUGGCAUCCCAGUUGGAGGACAACACAUCAGUUCACCAAAGUAAACAAUUUGAAGAUGAUUUCAGAGCAUGGAAAGCAAACAAGUGCAGCUCCCAGAAAACUUCUGUUCAAGUUGCACCUAACUCUAAACCAGUCCCAAAGGAGGUGCAGAGAGAAGCCUGUGUAUGAAACCAAAGGUCUGCCGUUAGAGCCUGCGGUGUCCUUGAAGCCAAAGGCGGCUUGGAACACAAACCAAGAACUUUUUGACGAAGCCAGUGAAUUCUUUCAGCAAUUCAAGACCUGGUCCCUUGAAAACCAGUUCCACAGCCAAGGCAAAAAGUCUGAGAUUAAAUAAAUUAGCCCUGACAUUAUGUAAUGGCAACUUUUUUUAAAUACUAUUAAGCACCUCACUGAUACUAGACAGCUAAAUGCAGUCUAUCACAACAAUUAAUGGUGUGUGUAUAAUAUAUUUGCAAUUGAAACAUCUGCUAGCGAGUGACUUUGCAGAGGCUGCAAAACCAUAAUUUCUGUUUGCCUUUUCAUCUGGGGUGAAUGCUAUAUCUAAACUACAG
rnacentral:lncRNA from 1 species